rnacentral:lncRNA from 1 species
UUGAGUACAAAAUUCUAAGUUUUCAAAGGUUUUGUAUAGAACUAUACAAAUCCUUGGUAUUUCUAUUUUCUUUUCUACAUCAGUAAAAUGACCCCUUCAGGCCCUUGUCUGAGGGAGGGUUGUUCUCAACCUGACAAUAACAAACACAGGUCAAAGUACGGCCUUUUACACAGGGCUUUGAUACAGACCAAACAGCAAGCUGUAAAGGAUCCCAAAAUUAUUAGCGUACACAAUUCGAACAGGAAAACCAACGAUCUAAUUUAUAUAUCCAAACGGGAAAAUACCAAUGAACAACAUCAACAAACGAUAACUGCUGAACGACAGAC